UACGGAGGGUGCAAGCGUUAUCCGGAUUUACUGGGUUUAAAGGGUGCGUAGGCGGGCUAUUAAGUCAGUGGUGAAAUCCCGGGGCUCAACCUCGGAACUGCCAUUGAUACUAUUAGCCUUGAAUUAUGUUGAGGUUGGCGGAAUAUAACAUGUAGCGGUGAAAUGCUUAGAUAUGUUAUGGAACACCGAUUGCGAAGGCAGCUCACUAAGCAGAAUAUUGACGCUCAUGCACGAAAGCGUGGGGAUCAAACAGG
rnacentral:rRNA from 1 species